rfam:Salmo salar isolate Sally breed double haploid chromosome ssa08, whole genome shotgun sequence.
GGUUCUAUGGUGUAAUGGUUAGCACUCUGGACUUGGAAUCCAGUGAUCCGAUUUCAAAUCUUGGUAGAACCU